rnacentral:tRNA from 1 species
GUCCUCAUCGUUCAAUGGAUAGGACAUCAGCUUCCGGAGCUGAUGAUGUAGGUUCGAUUCCUACUGAGGACA